AGCUUCAUCUCCAGCUGGCCUGCCUGGACCCUGACUGGAAAAUACCUCCCCACUCUGGAUGGCCAGGGUGGCACCUUUGUCUAUUCCCAUAAUUAUAAUAGCUCACACUGAUGCAGCACUCACUAUGUACCAGGCACUAUCCUAAGGCCUUUCCAGAUUAAAAAAAAAACAACUGGGGAAGGAGCCAAGAUGGCCGAAUAGGAACAGCUCUGGUCUACAGUUCCCAGCGUGAGUGACACAGAAGAUGGGUGAUGUCUGCAUUUCCAUCUGAGGCUCAUACGUAAAAGGAACUUGCCUUGUCUCAGAUGAAACUUGCUAUUUUGGACUUCUGAGUUAAUGCUGAUGUGUGACAAAGAACAAUGGAUAGAUUACCAAACAGAGCCAUUUUAUUUGGGAGUUCUCAUCUGGGAUUGUGAUCAGAAGAGAAGAUAGAAACAUCAGAAUGGGGGUCAGAGGCAGAAGGACAGAUCUGCAGUUUCCAAAGCCCACGGGCUCAUUUCACCCAUUUCACUCAUGACUCCAUCCUCAACCUGCUGUGGCGCUCAUAUCCUCCAGUCAUGCCCUAGAGACUUCGAAUUUCCAUCAGCCUAAAAAGCUGUAACAUACACAUAAUGGGAAUACUGGUGGUUCCUAGGACCAGGUGGAGCUGGCCAGAUGGCCCAGAUGAACCCACAACUUAUUCUUCAGACACCUUUUACUAUCCAGGGUCAAACCUCAAUGUCUCCUGCCUUGCGGGCUCUAACCCAUCAGUAGAGCAUUCUUGGCUGCUGAAUGGGAAUAACCAGCAAACAGGACAAGAGGUCUUUAUCUCCCAAGUCACUACAGAGAAUAGUGGGGACUAUCUGUGUUAUGUCCAUAACCCAGUCACUAAUGGCAAAAACUUCGCAACCAAGAAAAUCACAGUCCCUGAUACUUCAGUACAAGAAGUACUCCUGGCCUUUCAGGUAGAGCCACUGUCGGCAUCCUGAUUGGAGUACUGGCCAGUGUGGCUCUGAUCUACCAGCCCUGGUGUAGUUUAUUUCAGGAAGACUGGAAGACUGGAUAUUACCCUGAAUUCUACUAGUUCCUCCAAUUCCAUUUUCUCCCAUGGAAUCACGAAGAGCAAGACCCACUCUGUUCCAGAAGUCCUAUAAGCGGGAGGUGGACAACUCAAUGUAAAUUUCAUGGGAAAACCCUUGUACCUGAAGCGUGAGCCACUCAGAACUCACCAAAAUGUUCGACACCAUAACAACAGCUGCUCAAACUGUAAACCAGGACAACAAGUGGAUGACUUCACACUGUGGACAGUUUUUCCCAAGAUGUCAGAACAAGACUCCCCAUCAUGAUGAGGCUCUCACCCCUCUUAACUGUCCUUGCUCAUGCCUGCCUCUUUCACUUGGCAGGAUAAUGCAGUCAUUAGAAUUUCACAUGUAGUAGCUUCUGAGGAUAACAACAGAGUGUCAGAUAUGUCGUCUCAACCUCAAACUUUUACGUAAAAUCUCAGGGGAAAUGUGGCUCUCUCCACCUUGCAUACAGGGCUCCCAAUAGAAAUGAAUACAGAGAUAUUGCCUGUGUGUUUGCAGAGAAGAUGGUUUCUAUAAAGAGUAGGAAAGCUGAAAUUAUAGUAGAGUCCCCUUUAAAUGCACAUUGUGUGGAUGACUCUUGCCAUUUCCUAAGAGAUACAUUGUAAAACGUGACAGUAAGACUGAUUCUAGCAGAAUAAAACAUGUACCACAUUUGCU
ensembl:lncRNA novel transcript